GUUUGCUGCUUGGUACCAAUUUUGUGAAGAAAAUGGAAAAGGUAUCUCAGCCUCAGCUCUUCCUUACUCAAGAAACC
rnacentral:misc_RNA from 1 species